rnacentral:rRNA from 1 species
UGAGGAAUAUUGGUCAAUGGGCGAGAGCCUGAACCAGCCAAGUAGCGUGCAGGACGACGGCCCUAUGGGUUGUAAACUUCUUUUAUGUGGGGAUAAAGUGCGUGACGUGUCAUGCAUUGCAGGUACCACAUGAAUAAGGACCGGCUAAUUCCGUGCCAGCAGCCGCGGUAAUACGGAAGGUCCGGGCGUUAUCCGGAUUUAUUGGGUUUAAAGGGAGCGUAGGCUGUCUAUUAAGCGUGUUGUGAAAUAUACCGGCUCAACCGGUGGCUUGCAGCGCGAACUGGUCGACUUGAGUAUGCAGGAAGUAGGCGGAAUUCAUGGUGUAGCGGUGAAAUGCUUAGAUAUCAUGACGAACUCCGAUUGCGCAGGCAGCUUACUGUAGCAUAACUGACGCUGAUGCUCGAAAGUGCGGGUAUCAAACAGG